GACGAACGCUGGCGGCGUGCUUAACACAUGCAAGUCGAACGAAGUGGCGAACGGGUGAGUAACGCGUAAUUAACCUGCCCUUCAGCGGGGGACAACAGUUGGAAACGACUGCUAAUACCGCAUACUGAAGGAGGGUAUUGCGUCUGAUGAGCUAGUUGGAGGGGUAACGUCCCACCAAGGCGAUGAUCAGUAGCCGGGGUGAGAGGAUGAACGGCCAAAGUGGGACUGAGACACGGCCAAGACUACUACGGGAGGCAGCAGUGGGGAAGCUUCCGCAAUGGACGAAAGUCUGACGGAGCAACGCAGCGUGAGUGAUGACGGCCUGCGGGUUGUAAAGCUCUGUUAAUCGGGACGCGGUACCGGAAUAGAAAGCCACGGCUAACUACGUGCCAGCAGCCGCAGUAAUAC
rnacentral:rRNA from 1 species